CCUACGGGCGGCAUCAGUGAGGAAUAUUGGUCAAUGGACGCGAGUCUGAACCAGCCAAGUAGCGUGAAGGAUGACUGCCCUACGGGUUGUAAACUUCUUUUAUAUGGGAAUAAAAUGUUCCACGUGUGGCUUUUUGUAUGUACCUUAUGAAUAAGGAUCGGCUAACUCCGUGCCAGCAGCCGCGGUAAUACGGAGGAUCCGAGCGUUAUCCGGAUUUAUUGGGUUUAAAGGGAGCGUAGGUGGGUUGUUAAGUCAGUUGUGAAAGUUUGCGGCUCAACCGUAAAAUUGCAGUUGAAACUGGCAGUCUUGAGUACAGUAGAGGUAGGCGGAAUUCGUGGUGUAGCGGUGAAAUGCUUAGAUAUCACGAAGAACUCCGAUUGCGAAGGCAGCUUACUAGACUGCAACUGACACUGAGGCUCGAAAGUGUGGGUAUCAAACAGGAUUAGAUACCCCUGUAGUC
rnacentral:rRNA from 1 species